UGUAGAGGAUGUUUCGGGUACCGCCUCGGUUUAAAUUUCUUGGAACAGAAUGUCAGAGAGGGUGAGAAUCCCGUCUUGGACCGGCGGUAGGGCCCAUGUGAAACUCCUUCGACGAGUCGAGUUGUUUGGGAAUGCAGCUCAAAAUGGGUGGUAAAUUUCAUCUAAAGCUAAAUAUUGGCCAGAGACCGAUAGCGCACAAGUAGAGUGAUCGAAAGAUGAAAAGAACUUUGAAAAGAGAGUUAAACAGUAUGUGAAAUUGUUGAAAGGGAAGCGCUUACAACCAGACUUGAGCGCGGCGGUUCCCCCUUCCUUUUGGUUGGGUUACUCCGCCGUGUCCAGGCCAACAUCGGUUCUGGGGGUCGGUUAAAGGCCUGGGGAAUGUAUCUACUCCUUCGGGGGUAGACUUAUAGCCCCGGGUGUCAUGCGACCACCCGGGACCGAGGAACGCGCUUCGGCUCGGAUGUUGGCGUAAUGGUUGUCAGCGACCCGUCUUGAAACACGGACCAAGGAGUCUAACAUCUAUGCGAGUGUUUGGGUGUCAAACCCGGAACGCGAAAUGAAAGUGAACGGAGGUAGGAAGCCUUUAGGCUGCACUAUCGACCGAUCCUGAUGUCUUCGGAUGGAUUUGAGUAAGAGCAUAGCUGUUGGGACCCGAAAGAUGGUGAAC
rnacentral:rRNA from 1 species